rnacentral:rRNA from 1 species
ACACGACUACAUUAGAUACCCCGGUAGUCCCAGCCGUAAACGAUGCGCGUUAGGUGUAUCGGUGACCACGAGUCACCGAGGUGCCGAAGGGAAACCGUGAAACGUGCCGCCUGGGAAGUACGGUCGCAAGGCUGAAACUUAAAGGAAUUGGCGGGGAGCACCACAACGGGUGGAGCCUGCGGUUUAAUUGGACUCAACGCCGGGAAGCUCACCGGAUAAGACAGCGGAAUGAUUGCCGGGCUGAAGACUCUGCAUGACUAGCUG